GACUGCAGUGCUUCUCAGUGUACCUGGAGAGAGAUGAAAACUCCUCAGUCCAAAGUACAACUUGGAUCCAACCACAUGCAGGCAUUAACCAGCUGUUCCCUACUUAAGUUAGCCAUCACUUCUUCUGGGAUCUGAAGUACAGACAACAGCCAUCAAACAGUGUGAGGCCCUGAAGUACACCAUCGUCUCAUUAACAUGACAUUUAUCAGCUGGGCUAAGUGGCCAUGAAUAUGAAUGCAUCAGAGAGACUGACUGAGGAAGUUUCUGCUGUGCUGGUUGCAUUCUGCAUUGUGCACAAAAAAUAAUACGGCUUAUGAAAAAAGAAACAAAAGCAAUAAUAAUGAAAAUCUUUACACAAUUAAAUAUCCACGGAAAUCUGUGUCCAGCAUCUUGGUCCAUUCACCCUGCUUGGAGAUGCAGGUCCUUGAAUGUAUUUGCUUCCGAUGGAAUCUUGUUUGAUUAAAAGGAAAUAUGAAUCUCAAGAUGCAGCUUUUUUUCAUUUCUCUCUCAAUUUCUCUCUCUCGCUUUCUCUCUGUUUCUCUCAACAUGAGGGAAAUAUCUUCACAGCUUCUUCAUCUGCACUCACAGUAGCUUCACCACAUAACUUUGGGGAAAGCCUCGCGCUUCUGGAAACCACUAAACCAUCCACUACCUCUGCAUAUGGCUAAAAUUUUCUCUUUAACUGUGAAUGCUUGUUUCUGUCUGCUUCAAACAUGUUUACACACUAGGAAAAAUCACUCAGGAACCAACUUUGCUUGUCCAUUUUAUAUUGACAUCAUUUCCUUAUUUGCCGAUCAUCUGCAACCUAAUUUGCGUUACAAAAACACAUAUUCAAAUCACUUGAACUGAUCUAAUAGGUUAUUCAUCUCACCAUGCUACACCAUAAUGCAUUAUAAGUCCACAGACCUUUUUGUAGACUUCAUACAAGUUUCUUAAAUCUCCCCAUUUGUAGAUUUGUAGAUUUAGAAAUGUUUAGCACCUGCCUAAUAGGAUUGCUAUGAGAAGCGAGUGAGAACAUCUGAGUAUAGUAUUUCGCAUAGUAAAAUAUUUAUUAUCAUUACCGUUAACUUCUGUAGACAAAAGAUGGAUUUCUAGGUAAACCAAA
rnacentral:lncRNA from 1 species